rnacentral:rRNA from 1 species
UACGUAGGGUGCGAGCGUUGUCCGGAAUUAUUGGGCGUAAAGAGCUCGUAGGCGGUCUGUCGCGUCGAAUGUGAAAACCCGGGGCUCAACUCCGGGCUUGCAUUCGAUACGGGCAGGCUAGAGUUCGGUAGGGGAGUCUGGAAUUCCUGGUGUAGCGGUGAAAUGCGCAGAUAUCGGGAGGAACACCGGUGGCGAAGGCGGGUCUCUGGGCCGAUACUGACGCUGAGGAGCGAAAGCGUGGGGAGCAAACAGG